rnacentral:tRNA from 1 species
GUGAGCGUAGCUCAGAUGGUCAGAGCACCAGGUUGUGGCCCUGGUGGUCGGGGGUUCGAGUCCCCUCGCUCACCCCU